GGAAUUUUGGACAAUGGGGGCAACCCUGAUCCAGCCAUGCCGCGUGCGGGAAGAAGGCCUUCGGGUUGUAAACCGCUUUUGGCAGGAACGAAACGGCGCUUGUUAAUACCGAGCGCUAAUGACGGUACCUGCAGCAUAAGCACCGGCUAACUACGUCCCAGCAGCCGCGGUAAUACGUAGGGUGCAAGCGUUAAUCGUAAUUACUGGGCGUAAAGCGUACGCAGGCGGCUGUGCAAGACAGGUGUGAAAUCCCCGGGCUUAACCUGGGAACUGCAUUUGUGACUGCAUAGCUAGAGUCCGUAAGAGGGGGGUGGAAUUCCACGUGUAGCAGUGAAAUGCGUAGAGAUGUGGAGGAACACCGAUGGCGAAGGCAGCCCCCUGGGAUGAGACUGACGCUCAUGUACGAAAGCGUGGGGAGCAAAC
rnacentral:rRNA from 1 species